rnacentral:rRNA from 1 species
UACGUAGGGUGCAAGCGUUUGUCCGGAAUUAUUGGGCGUAAAGAGCUCGUAGGCGGUUUGUCGCGUCUGCUAUGAAAACCCGAGGCUCAACCUCGGGCCUGCAGUGGGUACGGGCAGACUAGAGUGCGGUAGGGGAGAUUGGAAUUCCUGGUGUAGCGGUGGAAUGCGCAGAUAUCAGGAGGAACACCAAUGGCGAAGGCAGAUCUCUGGGCCGUAACUGACGCUGAGGAGCGAAAGCAUGGGGAGCGAACAGG